AUGGAAACUCUCACAAGACCUCAUAGUUCCCUAUUUACUGGGUGCUGCCAUUUCCAUCCAUGCCUCCCAUGCCCUGCUGUCUUUGCCAUUCACCUGCCAGAUCACCACUGAAAACUACAGACUGAAUCUUCUGGCUUUUACUAACAUUGCUUUUUAUGGGAGACAUGGCAACUCCUGGAAGCAUCCUGUAUCUUCUCCAAGAAGAUGGAUGGCCACAGAAGAACUUCCACCUGGACCCUUGUCUGAAUUUAAAAAAGCCAGUCACACAGUGAAAAGCUGCUUUAUUUACAUCUUUAACUGCUGCUGAAAUCAUGUCCAGAAUGUGAAUAAGUGGAGCAAUGGGGGAACAAUUGUCCCACUCUGCCAAGACAGAGCCUAUUUUUGACCCCACCAAUUUUGGAGCAUAUUCUGUAGGUUCACUCCUCUUGCCUGGGCCAAGGCCAAACCCACAGGGGGCCCUGCAGAUACACCAGCUCCUGGAACAGCUCUGAGGGUGCCAACCACCAACCAAGGAUGCCAACUGGACAAGUACUAACAGAAACCCGCAUUCUCCGCCUCCUCAAGAACAGAUGCCUGAGGCCUCCUGGAUGGCAGCUAUCCAAAUGCUUCUCCACCCAUACCCUUGCUGAGCAUGGUUCCACCUGACUUGAACCUUCCCCCUCCCUACAUGGUCCCAUGCUAACAGGAAGUACACAGACUUGAACCUGCACCCACAUAUACCCAAAAAUUUGGGAUGUUUAUAAUCUACAGCUGAGGGGGCCUCAUUCCACAAAAACCACCAUAUGUGGCUCCUCCCCCCAGAGAUGCCUGGGACCAUGCCCAUGCCUACUGGCUAUUUAAGACCUGGCCCAUAGAUCUGCAUGGGUGUUCCCCUGUUCUGUCUCCUGACUUCCUGAAAGCCCCUGGAGUGCUCUGCUUUGCUAUGCUCUGUUUAUUAAAUCUGGAUUUAUUAA